GCAGGUAUAGUAUAACGGCUAUUAUGUAGCCUUGCCAUGGCUAAGAUGCGGGUUCGAUUCCCGUUACCUGCUCCA
rnacentral:tRNA from 1 species